UGAGAAAAUUCUCAGAUCUCGCCU
rnacentral:siRNA from 1 species